GACGAACGCUGGCGGCGUGCUUAACACAUGCAAGUCGAACGGUGAAGCGCCUUCCUCUUUGGUGGGUGUGGAUGAGUGGCGAACGGGUGAGUAACACGUGAGUAACCUGCCCCCUUCUUCUGGAUAACCGCAUGAAAGUGUGGCUAAUACGGGAUAUUCUGGGUCUGUCGCAUGAUGGGUCUGGGAAAGAUAUUGUUUCGGUGGGGGAUGGGCUCGCGGCCUAUCAGCUUGUUGGUGGGGUGAUGGCCUACCAAGGCGGUGACGGGUAGCCGGCCUGAGAGGGUGGACGGUCACACUGGGACUGAGACACAGCCCAGACUCCUACGGGAGGCAGCAGUGGGGAAUAUUGCACAAUGGGCGCAAGCCUGAUGCAGCGACGCCGCGUGAGGGAUGGAGGCCUUCGGGUUGUGAACCUCUUUCGCCAGUGAAGCAGGCCUGCCUCGUUUGUGGGUGGGUUGACGGUAGCUGGAUAAGAAGCGCCGGCUAACUACGUG
rnacentral:rRNA from 1 species